rnacentral:rRNA from 1 species
UACGGGAGGCAGCAGUGGGGAUAUUGCACAAUGGGGGAACCCUGAUGCAGCAACGCCGCGUGGAGGAUGACACAUUUCGGUGCGUAAACUCCUUUAUAAGGAAGAUAAUGACGGUACUAUAUGAAUAAGCGCCGGCUAACUCCGUGCCAGCAGCCGCGGUAAU